rnacentral:rRNA from 1 species
UACGUAGGGUGCGAGCGUUGUCCGGAAUUAUUGGGCGUAAAGAGCUCGUAGGCGGUUUGUCGCGUCGACUGUGAAAACCCGAGGCUUAACCUCGGGCCUGCAGUCGAUACGGGCAGACUAGAGUUCGGUAGGGGAGACUGGAAUUCCUGGUGUAGCGGUGAAAUGCGCAGAUAUCAGGAGGAACACCGGUGGCGAAGGCGGGUCUCUGGGCCGAUACUGACGCUGAGGAGCGAAAGCGUGGGGAGCGAACAGG